AGGAUUCCCCUAGUAACUGCGAGUGAAGCGGGAAAAGCUCAAAUUUAAAAUCUGGCAGUCUUUGGCUGUCCGAGUUGUAAUUUAGAGAAGCACUGCCGGCGCUGGACUGUGUACAAGUCUCCUGGAAUGGAGCGUCAUAGAGGGUGAGAAUCCCGUAUAUGACACAGUUGCCAGGGCUUAGUGGCCUGCUCUCCAAGAGUCGAGUUGUUUGGGAAUGCAGCUCAAAAUGGGUGGUAAAUUCCAUCUAAAGCUAAAUACAGGCGAGAAACCGAUAGCGAACAAGUACCGUGAGGGAAAGAUGAAAAGAACUUUGGAAAGAGAGUUAAACAGUACGUGAAAUUGUUGAAAGGGAAACGCUUGAAGUCAGUCACAUUGCUGGAAAUCACACUUGCUUUCAUUGCUUGUGGCUCUUUCCUAGUAAUGGGUCAGCAUCAGUUUUGAUUGUUGGACAAGGGUUAGAGGAAUGUGGCAUCCUUGGAUGUGUUAUAGCCUCUGAUCAUAUGCAAUGAUGGAGACUGAGGAACUCAGCACUUUGUGCUUAGGAUGCUGGCAUAAUGGCUUUAAUCGACCCGUCUUGAACCCCCGGA
rnacentral:rRNA from 1 species